rnacentral:tRNA from 1 species
UGCCGAGGUGAUGGAAUGGCAGACAUAGAGGACUUAAAAUCCUCUGACCGUUAGGUCGUGCGGGUUCAAGUCCCGUCUUCGGUAU